ACAUACUUAUAUUAUAAUAUAUCUAAUUGUGUGUGUAGAAUUAUAUUUGUGUCCAAAGGGCUCAGCCAGUUAAGUCAUAAUGAAUAAUAAUUAACUAUGUUAAAUAAAUUAUAUUAGGUACAAACAUAAAAUACACAUAACUUGCUUUAAAAAUAAAAUAUAAAUAAAUAUACCUGUAAGGUUCUUUAGAAAAUAUUUUUACUCUAUGUUUAUUAAAGCUAACAUUACAAAAUUUGAUCUGCUCUACACAAAUUUGCUAUGUUGCUCAUAGGUAAUAUAUUGCGGAGCCAGUAUCUAAUUUUAAUAGCACGGAGCAUCUGAACAUAUUUAAAUUUCAAAGAACACAUAACAAGUUUGGAAAUUCAGUGUUCUGAAAAUUGGAUGUGAUUCAUUCUGGGACAUUGCUGUCAGCAAAAGAGGGUUUCCAAGUUCCAGAUUAAAUAGGAUAUCAAUGUAUAACAUGGACUACUCAAUUAUGUUUUCUUCAGUUCAUACAUAUAUUUUGUCAUUACCAGUUUCGGAUAGAUGAAAUUACACUACUGAAUAAUGAUUAAUUUUAAUAAUAAUUUUAUCAUUUUUGAAAUGAAUUAUGAUUGCGAGGAAUGAAAUAUUAAAUUAUUGCUAAGAUUGAUAUACCAUUGUCCAACUGUGAAGAAGUAGGUAGGUAGCCAAUUUUAAAAGUGCAGAUCUUUGAAGACCAGGAUGUGUAAAUGUGAAUUGGAAAGUGGCAACAUACACCUAGUUCAGACUUCAGAAAUUUAGUUAGACAUGAUUUAUGGAAAUUGGAUUCAUUAAUUUUUGGACAUUCAAAACUAUACCAUACUACUAUUGUCUGAUUGUGAAGAAGUAGGUAGCUAAUUUUAAUAGUGCAGAUCUUAGAAGACCAGGAUGUGUAGAUGUGAAUUGGAAAGCGGCAACAUAUACCUAGUUCAGACUUUAGAAAUUUAGUUAGACAUGAGUUAUGGAAAUUGGAUUCAUUAAUUUUUGGUCAUUCAAAGUAGCUUUAGAAACCCUAAUAAAUGUAUUUUCUAUCUAAUAAUUGUAUUAAAUAUAAUUAAAUAAGAUUUUAUAUUUAACUUAUGA
rnacentral:lncRNA from 1 species